rnacentral:rRNA from 1 species
GACGAACGCUGGCGGCGUGCUUAACACAUGCAAGUCGAACGGAAAGGCCCUGCUUUUGUGGGGUGCUCGAGUGGCGAACGGGUGAGUAACACGUGAGUAACCUGCCCUUGACUUUGGGAUAACUUCAGGAAACUGGGGCUAAUACCGGAUAGGAGCUCCUGCUGCAUGGUGGGGGUUGGAAAGUUUCGGCGGUUGGGGAUGGACUCGCGGCUUAUCAGCUUGUUGGUGGGGUAGUGGCUUACCAAGGCUUUGACGGGUAGCCGGCCUGAGAGGGUGACCGGCCACAUUGGGACUGGGAUACCGCCCAGACUCCUUCGGGAGGCAGCAGUGGGGAAUAUUGCACAAUGGGCGGAAGCCUGAUGCAGCAACGCCGCGUGCGGGAUGACGGCCUUCGGGUUGUAAACCGCUUUCGCCUGUGACGAAGCGUGAGUGACGGUAAUGGGUAAAGAAGCACCGGCUAACUACGUG